rnacentral:rRNA from 1 species
AGAGUUUGAUCCUGGCUCAGGAUGAACGCUGGCGGCAUGCCUAAUACAUGCAAGUCGAACGAACGAGCCCUUGAACAUGGACGUGCUUGCACUGAAGUGGAAUAGGAUUUUCUCGUUAGUGGCGAACGGGUGAGUAACACGUAGAUAACCUGCCCAUAAGAUCGGAAUAACUAUUGGAAACGAUAGCUAAUGCCGGGUAUGAAACCUUAACGCAUGUUUUGGUUUUGAAAGGAGCGUUUGCUUCGCUUAUGGAUGGAUCUGCGGUGCAUUAGCUUGUUGGUGAGGUAACGGCUCACCAAGGCGACGAUGCAUAGCCGGACUGAGAGGUCGAUCGGCCACAUUGGGACUGAGACACGGCCCAAACACCUACGGGUGGCAGCAGUAGGGAAUUUUUCGCAAUGGGGGCAACCCUGACGGAGCAAUGCCGCGUGGAGGAUGAAGGUUUUCGGAUCGUAAACUCCUGUUGUAAGGGAAGAAUGGUAGAAUUAGGAAAUGAGUUCUAUUUGACGGUACCUUACCAGAAAGCCUCGGCUAACUACGUGCCAGCAGCCGCGGUAAUACGUAGGUGGCGAGCGUUAUCCGGAAUCAUUGGGCGUAAAGAGGGAGCAGGCGGCCGCAAGGGUCUGUGGUGAAAGACCGAAGCUAAACUUCGGUAAGCCAUGGAAACCGGGCGGCUAGAGUGCGGAAGAGGAUCGUGGAAUUCCAUGUGUAGCGGUGAAAUGCGUAGAUAUAUGGAGGAACACCAGUGGCGAAGGCGACGGUCUGGGCCGCAACUGACGCUCAUUCCCGAAAGCGUGGGGAGCAAAUAGGAUUAGAUACCCUAGUAGUCCACGCCGUAAACGAUG